rnacentral:sRNA from 1 species
CCCAAGCCCUAAUGGAAACGAUAUCCUUUUGUCUCGUCCUCAAACGAGACAAAAGGUAUAGUGGACAGCAGGAAGCAGC